AGUUAUUCUAUUCUUUUUUCGUCUUUGCAUUUGUUCACUGAAUUAUCGGAUAACGAGGAAAGUUACUAUACAUUACUUUUGUGCAGACAUUUGAGACAACAGUAAAAAUGUAAUCUGAGGUUGGAUAUAUCGCUAAUAAAUCAUUUAUUAAAAAAGACUAUGUUUGGGUCAAAUUUCAAGAAGUAGAUACUAAUUCUUUACUCCCC
rnacentral:lncRNA from 1 species